AUUGAACGCUGGCGGCAGGCCUAACACAUGCAAGUCGAGCGGAUGAAGGGAGCUUGCUCCUGGAUUCAGCGGCGGACGGGUGAGUAAUGCCUAUGAAUCUGCCUGGGAGUGGGGGAUAACGUCCGGAAACGGGCGCUAAUACCGCAUACGCCUUGAGGGAGAAAGUGGGGGAUCUUCGGACCUCACGCUCUCAGAUGAGCCUAGGUCGGAUUAGCUAGUUGGUGGGGUAAAGGCCUACCAAGGCGACGAUCCGUAACUGGUCUGAGAGGAUGAUCAGUCACACUGGAACUGAGACACGGUCCAGACUCCUACGGGAGGCAGCAGUGGGGAAUAUUGGACAAAGGGCGAAAGCCUGAUGCAGCCAUGCCGCGUGUGUGAAGAAGGUCUUCGGAUUGUAAAGCACUUUAAGUUGGGAGGAAGGGAAGUAAGUUAAUACCUUGCUGUAUUGACGUUACCAACAGAAUAAGCACCGGCUAACUUCGUG
rnacentral:rRNA from 1 species